UGGGAUGUGGCCAAGUGGUAAGGCACCAGUUUUUGGUACUGGCAUGCGGAGGUUCGAAUCCUCCCAUCCCAACCA
rnacentral:tRNA from 1 species